AUGCAGACCCAACAGCAGAGGAGUAGAUCUCAACCAGAAACAUCCAUGACCUGGGGAACCAAGAAGAGAACGACCAGAUGACAACAUUGUCCCUGACAAUGGCCCAGAAGGAUCAGCCAGAUGUCAGUAGCCCUUCAGAUGCUGAUGACAGCCAUGUCCCUCCUGAACAUGACACCAAAGAUGGCGAACACAACACCAGUGUUACAGUUGAAUUGGACUGCUCUGGUGGAUGCGCAACACUUAGAGGCUCACAAAAUUGGACAAUGGGCUUCUGUGCUUCUCCCGUGGCCUCCUGCUAUUCAUAUGAUGGUCUGGGGAGAGGCUUUGCCCAAUUUUCCACUUAUUUUGGCCAAGUUACAGCAGUAUCGACCAGCUUCAGGGACCUGGAUCAACCCAUUGGAUGCUUCAAUCAGUUCCAGCACAUACCUCUCUAUCUCUCUCCCCCUCCCCCACAAGAAAGAUCCUGUUGCAUGAUUUAGCUCUAUGCCCAUUCUCAGCAGGAAGUAGCUUCAGAAUAUGAGCCUCUGCCCCAAUGGACUUUGCAUCCCAUUGAUUUGGGAGGAACUGGAACUGGUUGAUGAAUGGAUACCAAAUUCUGAGUGAGUCCCAUGUUACAAUGGUUUUAGGAUUUAGAAUGAAAAAUAUUGGAUUAAAAUUUGAGUAAAUGUUGCUGAAAAAGAUUACACCAGUAACAAUUCAGUUUGGUGCUUGUCAAAAAUUAUAGAAUGCAUCUACAUUAUUUAAUUGAACACAAUGUUCCCUUCAGAUCAUGUAAUUAUUUGAGGGACCUCUGGAUAAGUUCCAGAGUAGAAAACCCCUACUGUAUUCGUGUGUUAUGUGUAGGAACUUUAAUUUACUUUCAGGACUUAUAUGUGAGAUGGCUACUUGACAAUUGGAGCCUUGUCUAUUCCUCUUUGGAUGACUCCUUCAACAAAACAAAAAGGGAGAUAAGAGAUAAGGAACCAGGAAAGCUGGUGGAUUUUCCCAGAAGCACUAGAAAGAAUGGGACACUCCAGGCAACUCACCUAGGGAUUAGAUUGGAAAGGACAGCAACCGAGGGAGAGGUGGAAAGUAGACUUGACAAAAGUUAAACCUCAGCAGCAGGUUACUCUGGCCAUCAUAAUAAUCCUUCCCAUAACCUUGGUUCCACCUAACCAUGUUCAGUCUGUACCAUCCCUAGUGCCAUCAGUUCCUGUUCAUCUUAAAAGCCCUCCCUGCAAGUCCUUUUUAUCCUUAUUCCAUGCUUGGUUUAUUACCAAUUGUACAUUCAUUUUUUAAACCUCACACAAACCUCAGCUGGGCUGUGUUGCUGGCUCUGCUUUAACUCUGAACUCCCUUAUUUUAAUGGACUUGCCCAAUUUCUGAGACCACUUUCCAAUCUACCUGUUCUUGGGAACAACCAAAAAAAUCACCCCUGGAAAUCUCUGAAGUAUAGGCACCUGUCUUGUGACAGCUUUCACUAGUCUUUCUGAUCCACUUCUCCAGUCCUAUAACCUGAAUUAAUAUUUCAGUAUCCUCAAAGGGUCCUGUGGUUUAGUAUCAGGCUCCUGAAGUGUGGAUUCUUUCUGAAUCCUGAUGGGUGUUCCCUCUGCUUUCUAUUCUUCCAGAUGAGAAUGGAUGGAGCCAUUUCAGGCUUCACCUUUCCCCCUUGGAGUUCCCCUCCAGUAGGGGGUUAGGAUUGGCCAGCACAAGAGCACUGAGCAUGCUGCCCUCUCAGAUGCUGAGUUAAGUGCCCAAAUGGCUGCAGACCUAGCGCACAUCAAAUUAUCCAUCUCAAACUGGAUUCCCUGGCUGAGAUGGUGCUCCAGAACUACAGGAGACCUGAUCUGCUAUUUUUGCAAUGGGAGGCCUCUGUGCCACCCUAAAUAAGGAAUGUUGUUAACAACUCUGGGGUUAUCAGGAAGAGUCUGGCUCUAUAAGUCUUGAGUCCAGACGGCUGGAGCAGGGUCAGGGUACUUUUAUCUAGUCCCUUAUGGGAUCACUGUUUCUCCUUCUCCUUGCUCUUGCCAUAGAUCCUUGAAUCUUUUCUAAUCUUAUUUUGAGUUAUCUGCUCCCAGAUGGAGUUGGUCAAAAUCAUGGUGCUGAGAUCCUCCAAGAUGAUUCAAGAAUUUGAAUACUCACUAGAGAAAGUAGGGAUGUGUUGAGCGAUGGAUAAUGUGUCAUGGCCACCCCACCCCUUCCUUGCCAUUAGGACUGGGAGAAUUGAAUUAAAAAAAAAAAAAAAAAAGAGCCCAGGGAAAAUCUUGAAACUUUGACCACCUUUACAUACCAUUGUGUCAUAAACUCCAGGUGCAUUAUCUCAUACUUGUUAGGAUAAUUCCUCCUCCUGUUGAGUAAUACACUUCACACCUCACUGUCUUGUGCCCUCAACCUUAUCUUGUCCUCUAUCCUGUCACGAUUAAAUUAUGAUCCUUUCCUGGAAUUAUGGCUUGUCCAUCUAUCCAGUAUCCUUUCCCCCCUUUAUCUGCCUUUGUUUCCCUUACAAGAUUGUAUAUUCAGGUUAUGUAUUCUCUUUGCAAACCCUAGUUAGCUACUAUAUAAAUUCUCUGCCUCAGUUUGUCUGCUCUGAAUGCUUUGGACAAGAGUUGCAUCUUGUCAGCUAGCUUAAACUCCACAUUAAAGAUUAAAAACCAAUCUCUGCUUGCCUCUGUUUCUCUGGAUAUUACUUACACCAGCACCCUGGAUGACCCCUUGGCUUUCUAAUUUGGGAUAUGGGGUGGUGAGAGACAUAGGAAGUAAACAAUAUAGUUCAAGAUUAUGUCUUAGAAAUUCUCGGGGAUGGACUGGCAACUGAGAGAUAUGAUUGAUGGGUCUUUGUGCCCAUCCUCCAUGUCAAUGAAGAUUUCUUUAUGUGUUUUGUGUUGAGGCUGGGGGAGAGAAUAAAGAGGGAUAGAGAAAAGUCCAUUUCAACUUGGGUGUGGGUUCCAAAGCAGGAGGCUCUGUUCUUAGUAUACUCCAAAACUCCCUAUAUAUGUGAUUUUGAUCCCUGCCUGAAAUGAAUUUAUAUAAUAUAUAUUUUAACAAAGAUAGUAAAUUAUUUAAUUAGGUUAAAGAGGUAGAACCCAGAUAACUAUGGCCAAACAUG
rnacentral:lncRNA from 1 species